UGAGAGCUAUGGGAUUCGAACCCAUGCAUCCGUAGAUAUCAGAGAUUU
rnacentral:tRNA from 1 species